rnacentral:rRNA from 1 species
GACGUAGGAGGCGAGCGUUGUCCGGAAUUAUUGGGCGUAAAGAGCUCGUAGGCGGUUUGUUGCGUCGGCUGUGAAAACCUGAGGCUCAACCUCAGGCCUGCAGUCGAUACGAGCAGACUAGAGUGUUGCAGGGGAGACUGGAAUUCCUGGUGUAGCGGUGAAAUGCGCAGAUAUCAGGAGGAACACCGAUGGCGAAGGCAGUUCUCUGGGCCGUAACUGACGCUGAGGAGCGAAAGCGUGGGGAGCGAACAGG